UACGUAGGGCGCAAGCGUUGUCCGGAAUUAUUGGGCGUAAAGGGCUCGUAGGCGGUCUGUUACGUCUGCUGUGAAAACCCAGGGCUUAACCCUGGGCUUGCAGUGGAUACGGGCAGACUAGAGGCAGGUAGGGGAGAAUGGAAUUCCCGGUGUAGCGGUGAAAUGCGCAGAUAUCGGGAGGAACACCGGUGGCGAAGGCGGUUCUCUGGGCCUGACCUGACGCUGAGGAGCGAAAGCGUGGGGAGCGAACAGG
rnacentral:rRNA from 1 species